UCCUGGUGUCUCAGAUGGUAAAGAACCUGUCUGCAGUGCAGAAGACCCAGGUUCAAUCCCUGGGUCAGGAA
rfam:Ovis aries breed Texel chromosome 15, whole genome shotgun sequence.